GGCAGGAGAUGCUCUGACCCCAACUGCAGGGCGUAGGGCCGUGCACCAAAACGCAGCGGAUUGCACCUCUUGCCACAGCAGGGCUGCCCGUCCAUUGGGAAUGCUGGGCUACUGCAGGGAACCGUGGCUCCUGCUUUGGGGUGGCUGGGAGGUGAGCUGGAGCCACUGCGUGCACAGACAGAGCCCCGGACAGUGAGAGAACACAUCUGUCCUUCGUGGCCACGUCCCACAUGUGAGUCACAUCCUUUUGCUCUGCUCUCCCAACCCAAGCUGCUGCGUUCAGGCAAG
ensembl:lncRNA